GUGGUGACAAAGUGUCGAUAUCCUGCCAAUGGGUCAAGACAAUUCGCAUCCUCCGUGAACAUUUCGGUACAUAGACGUAUGCUUCCUCUGUCCUGAACCAGGCAUCUUUGUCCAUAUACAACACCAACCUCAUAGCCUCAAUGCCUCGUAUGAUCCUCAUGACGGAGGCAAAGCUUGCGAAGUCUGAACGAGCCAUUGCCCAAACAGUCCAAUUCGACCCAAGAUACGGAGUCGUGGAAGUUUCCGAAGAAUGUUCCAUCAAUGGGCUCCAAUGGCCCUCCCUCCCCAGUUUCUCUUGGACUACUUCUUGCAGCUCGACAGAGCCCAAAACAAGGGGAAAGAGGCGAAAGUGGUUCGAGAAGGUAGGAGCCAAGGCAGAGCAGUGGAGGAGGCCAUCUGGCAUCUGAGAUUCUGACCAGCACCACUGGCGUGCCUGGCGCCUAUUCUAGGGUCCGAACAUGGUCAACGGGGAAGCUGGACCAUUUGAUGCAAGUAAUCAGGGGGUAGUGUCAUGCCGGGCAGAUGACAGAAGCACAGCAUAACAUGCCUGCCUGGGGAAGACGUGGGUUGAGAUUGAGGCUAUCCGAAUGCGAGCAUGGCCAUCGGAUGGCAGUCUGUCUCGAGAUGUGUCCUGCAGGGGAGGUGACGACAGCGGACGGAACUAGACUGGCCUGAUUCAUUACUGAAUGACGCACAGGCCACUUGACGUGUAAAUCGUCGUUCGUUGUCGUUGAAUGUCGACAUCAGAAGUACAUACGUACAAUAUCAAAUACGGGGUGAGAGGGUGGGCAGCUUGAAGCCCAAGCUUUCUUAGGUCUUUCCGAGGAUACCGCGGCGGAACCAAAAUAACCAAGAGACAACAAGACCGAGCAGCUGGUGCGUGCGUGGAUAUUGACUUGUCAAGGUUGUGUCGAAGAUAGGGAUUUCUUUGUCAGCAGAAAUCCAGGCAUCUUGAAUUACCCGAGAAUAUGUCCAAAAAGGAGAUGAUGACAGCUGU